rnacentral:rRNA from 1 species
UGGGGAAUAUUGGACAAUGGGGACCGGUAGCAUCAGCCAUGCCGCGCUGUGUGAAGAAGGCCUUAUGGUUGUAAAGCACUUUAAGCGAGGAGGAGGCUCUUUUGGUUAAUACCCAAGAUGAGUGGACGUUACUCGCAGAAUAAGCACCGGCUAACUCUGUGCCAGCAGCCGCGGUAAUACAGAGGGUGCGAGCGUUAAUCGGAUUUACUGGGCGUAAAGCGUGCGUAGGCGGCUUUUUAAGUCGGAUGUGAAAUCCCGCG